rnacentral:rRNA from 1 species
UACGAAGGGUGCAAGCGUUACUCGGAAUUACUGGGCGUAAAGCGUGCGUAGGCGGUUUGUUAAGUCUGUCGUGAAAGCCCUGGGCUCAACCUGGGAAUUGCGAUGGAUACUGGCAAGCUAGAGUACGGUAGAGGAUGGUGGAAUUCCCGGUGUAGCGGUGAAAUGCGUAGAGAUUGGGAGGAACACCCGUGGCGAAGGCGGCCAUCUGGACCAGUACUGACGCUGAGGCACGAAAGCGUGGGGAGCAAACAGG